UACGUAGGGUGCGAGCGUUGUCCGGAAUUACUGGGCGUAAAGAGCUCGUAGGUGGUUUGUCGCGUUGUUCGUGAAAACUCACAGCUCAACUGUGGGCGUGCGGGCGAUACGGGCAGACUGGAGUACUGCAGGGGAGACUGGAAUUCCUGGUGUAGCGGUGGAAUGCGCAGAUAUCAGGAGGAACACCGAUGGCGAAGGCAGGUCUCUGGGCAUUAACUGACGCUGAGGAGCGAAAAGCAUGGGGAGCGAACAGG
rnacentral:rRNA from 1 species